GACGAACGCUGGCGGCGUGCCUAAUACAUGCAAGUCGAGCGGACCCUUCGGGGUUAGCGGCGGACGGGUGAGUAACACGUGGGUAAUCUGCCCAACUGACUGGAAUAACGCCUGGAAACGGUGCUAAUGCCGGAUAGGCAACUGGUAGGCAUCUACCGGUUGGGAAAGGUGCAACUGCACCGCAGAUGGAGGAGCCCGCGGCGCAUUAGCUGGUUGGUGGGGUAACGGCCUACCAAGGCGACGAUGCGUAGCCGACCUGAGAGGGUGGACGGCCACACUGGGACUGAGACACGGCCCAGACUCCUACGGGAGGCAGCAGUAGGGAAUCUUCCGCAAUGGGCGCAAGCCUGACGGAGCAACGCCGCGUGAGCGAAGAAGGCCUUCGGGUUGUAAAGCUCAGUCACUCGGGAAGAGCGGACAGGGGAGUGGAAAGCCCUCGUCGAGACGGUACCGAGAGAGGAAGCCCCGGCUAACUACGUG
rnacentral:rRNA from 1 species